AAUGAACGCUGGCGGCGCGCCUAAUACAUGCAAGUCGAGCGAGAAGACGUAGCAAUACGUUUGUAAAGCGGCGAACGGGUGAGGAAUACAUGGGUAACCUACCCUAGAGUGGGGAAUAACUAGCCGAAAGGUUAGCUAAUACCGCGUACGCUCCUUGGACUUCGGUUCAGGGAGGAAAGCGAUACCGAGGGUAUCGCGCUCUUGGAUGGGCUCAUGUCCUAUCAGCUUGNGGUGAGGUAACGGCUCACCAAGGCUUCGACGGGUAGCUGGUCUGAGAGGACGAUCAGCCACACUGGCACUGCGACACGGGCCAGACUCCUACGGGAGGCAGCAGUAAGGAAUAUUGCGCAAUGGGCGAAAAGCCUGACGCAGCGACGCCGCGUGGGGAGAUGAAGGUCUUCGGAUUGUAAA
rnacentral:rRNA from 1 species